rnacentral:miRNA from 1 species
UGGUGACAGAGGGAGGGAGUGACUAGUGACAGAGGGAGGGAGGGGGUGACUGUCACUAGUCACCCCAUCCCUCUCUCUGUCACUAGUCACCCCCCCUCACUCUGUCA